CAGCAGUGGGGAAUAUUGCACAAUGGGCGCAAGCCUGAUGCAGCCAUGCCGCGUGUAUGAAGAAGGCCUUCGGGUUGUAAAGUACUUUCAGCGGGGAGGAAGGCAUUGUGGUUAAUAACCGCAGUGAUUGACGUUACCCGCAGAAGAAGCACCGGCUAACUCCGUGCCAGCAGCCGCGGUAAUACGGAGGGUGCAAGCGUUAAUCGGAAUUACUGGGCGUAAAGCGCACGCAGGCGGUCUGUCAAGUCGGAUGUGAAAUCCCCGGGCUCAACCUGGGAACUGCAUUCGAAACUGGCAGGCUUGAGUCUUGUAGAGGGGGGUAGAAUUCCAGGUGUAGCGGUGAAAUGCGUAGAGAUCUGGAGGAAUACCGGUGGCGAAGGCGGCCCCCUGGACAAAGACUGACGCUCAGGUGCGAAAGCGUGGGGAGCAAACAGGAUUAGA
rnacentral:rRNA from 1 species